rnacentral:rRNA from 1 species
UACGUAGGGGGCAAGCGUUGUCCGGAAUUAUUGGGCGUAAAGAGCUCGUAGGCGGUUUGUUGCGUCGGCUGUGAAAUCCCGAGGCUCAACCUCGGGUCUGCAGUCGAUACGAGCAAACUAGAGUGUUGCAGGGGAGACUGGAAUUCCAGGUGUAGCGGUGAAAUGCGUAGAUAUCUGGAGGAAUACCGGUGGCGAAGGCGGCAUCCUGGACCGACAUUGACGCUGAACGGCGAAAGCUAGGGGAGCAAACGGG